rnacentral:misc_RNA from 1 species
UCUCCGUAGGUGAACCUGCGGAGGGAUCAUUACAGAGUUCAUGCCCUACCGGGUAGAUCUCCCACCCUAAGUUAUUAUUACUUUGUUGCUUUGGCGGGCCGUUAGGCUCCGGCCCGACUACCGGCCCCGGCUGGUAAGCGCCCGCCAGAGGACCCAAAACCCUGAAUAUUAGUGUCGUCUGAGUACUAUAUAAUAGUUAAAACUUUCAACAACGGAUCUCUUGGUUCUG